UACGUAGGGUGCGAGCGUUAAUCGGAAUUACUGGGCGUAAAGCGUGCGCAGGCGGUUUUGUAAGCCAGAUGUGAAAUCCCCGGGCUUAACCUGGGAAUGGCAUUGGUGACUGCACGGCUAGAGUGUGUCAGAGGGGGGGGUAGAAUUCCACGUGUAGCAGUGAAAUGCGUAGAGAUGUGGAGGAAUACCGAUGGCGAAGGCAGCCCCCUGGGAUAACACUGACGCUCAUGCACGAAAGCGUGGGGAGCAAACAGG
rnacentral:rRNA from 1 species